CUUCAGAACGUGCGGCUUCGUGGCGCAGUGCGUGAAAUGAGUGACAAGGAUCGUUCUUCUCCCACUCUUGUUGAAAACAGUCUCAAGUCGCUGCUCGAUCAACCUAGUAUUUUUCCAUUGAUUGUGUUCUUUCAAAAAAAUCUGAAAGAAAUAAAUCUGGGACGUUUAUCGAAGUUUUUACUUCAAGUUGUACAAUCAUUCAUAAAGUUAAAUAAGGGAUCCAGUGGAAAAUAGGUACGUAUGUAUUAAUUUCUUUGGUUUUUUUGUAUCCUUAUUUCGUUUCGUUCUAUUCAUCUUUUGAUACAACAUUUUUCAAUCUUUUCUCACUUCAACACAUGCAUCAAAAUUAAUUAAUAAAUUUCGAAAUAAAUAAUUUAAAUAUUUCGUUCCCCUCGGUGAAAAAUAUCUUUAUUUUCAGCCUCAGAAGAGUUGAUAUUAUAAGAUACACAACGAAGUUGCUCUAUACCUUUAAACCUGAAAUAUAUUUAUCGAAAAAUUAUAUCUACCUCAAACAUUUCUAUUCACACGUUAUCGAUAAUCUUAUCACAUUAUAGAUAUUUUCGAAAAAUUCAUUCUUCGUAGAACGUUAACGAACGAUGAGAAGAACGAACGUUUCGCCUGUUUCGCCGCGCUAUCCGAAUUAUUUCGAAGGACCUCGUGCUUAUAAAGUUGCAUCACGCGACGGAAUACGGCCGCUACUAUAGAUAGACAAGCGUGGACUCACGAGCAUUUGCACGCCGAUUUCUCUGCACCCCUAAACGUAACACGCGGAAAUUAGAAAUAUUGGACGAGUUACGCAUACGAGAGAGAGAAGACACGUGACGGGCGGACCGAAGCACACCACGUGCCCUCGCGUAUUUCGCAUGGUAACGCGAAUAUGCAGGUGAAAUAUCAUCGAUCCGCAUACUCGAAAUCUGCUUUUUACCGCUGGCCCGAAUCCAAAUCGAAUAUUAUUCCCGACAGAAUCGAAACUCGCGCCACCAUCGGAUUUGUUUCCUAUUCGAAGUCAUCGUACUCCAUCCUAUCCGAUUUUUCGCGGGAACAAUCGCGAAUAAAUUUGCUCCAAUUGUUUCUUACAAUUUUUCUUUCUUCCUUUUUUUUUUUAUAAAUAAAUCUCGUUCCUUUUGGUUUGUUUCUUCUUCUAAUUUUUUUUCUUUCUUUUCCCUUUUUUUUUCGAUGGAUAUCUAAAAUGAAAUUUUGGAGAAUUAUUCUGGAUGAUUAAUUUAAUUGUAAUUGGAAAAUAUAAAAACUUUUGUAAUCGAUUUGACUAGUGUAUAUUUUGAAGAUGGAAGAAUUAUUUUUUUUGAAAUAUUUUAUUUAUAAAAUUUGAAUCGUUCUAUUUCUUUUCUCUGUAGAAAAAAAAAAUUAUUCUUUAUUAGUCUAUUUCGUAACGCAAUGACGAUUUAAUCUUGCAUUUGCAUCUUUUGUGUAUCCUUGUAUCUUAUUCUUAAAACCUUCUAUUGUGCAGACGUUAUGGGAACCGGAAGGAUAUUCUCAAGCACAUUUACAGCAGUUAAAUAGCCACUGGGAUCGAUUUUGGAGAAAGUGACCAAAGUGGUAGUGAAACGACCGGUACUAUAAAACAACUUUGAAAGUGUUACUUGAGAGAAAAA